rnacentral:rRNA from 1 species
UACAGAGGGCGCGAGCGUUGUCCGGAUUUACUGGGCGUAAAGGGCGUGCAGGCGGUUUGUUAAGUCUAGGGUGAAAGCUCCCGGCUCAACUGGGAGAGGUCCUUGGAUACUGGCAGACUUGAGGAGGGUAGAGGAGAGUGGAAUUCCCGGUGUAGUGGUGAUAUGCGUAGAUAUCGGGAGGAACACCAGUGGCGAAGGCGGCUCUCUGGGCCCUACCUGACGCUGAGACGCGAAAGCGUGGGGAGCGAACCGG